AUUGAACGCUGGCGGCAGGCCUAACACAUGCAAGUCGAGCGGUAGAGAGGUGCUUGCAUCUCUUGAGAGCGGCGGACGGGUGAGUAAUGCCUAGGAAUCUGCCUAGUGGUGGGGGAUAACGUUCGGAAACGGACGCUAAUACCGCAUACGUCCUACGGGAGAAAGCGGGGGAUCUUCGGACCUCGCGCCAUUAGAUGAGCCUAGGUCGGAUUAGCUAGUUGGUGAGGUAAUGGCUCACCAAGGCGACGAUCCGUAACUGGUCUGAGAGGAUGAUCAGUCACACUGGAAUUGAGACACGGUCCAGACUCCUACGGGAGGCAGCAGUGGGGAAUAUUGGACAAUGGGCGAAAGCCUGAUCCAGCCAUGCCGCGUGUGUGAAGAAGGUCUUCGGAUUGUAAAGCACUUUAAGUUGGGAGGAAGGUAGUAACCUAAUACGUUGCUACUUUGACGUUACCGACAGAAUAAGCACCGGCUAACUUCGUGCCAGCA
rnacentral:rRNA from 1 species